UUAAGCGACUAAGCGUACACGGUGGAUGCCCUGGCAGUCAGAGGCGAUGAAGGACGUGCUAAUCUGCGAAAAGCGUCGGUAAGGUGAUAUGAACCGUUAUAGCCGGCGAUGUCCGAAUGGGGAAACCCAGUGCAAUUCGUUGCACUAUCGUUAACUGAAUACAUAGGUUAACGAGGCGAACCGGGGGAACUGAAACAUCUAAGUACCCCGAGGAAAAGAAAUCAACCGAGAUUCCCCCAGUAGCGGCGAGCGAACGGGGAGCAGCCCAGAGUCUGAAUCAGCUUGUGUGUUAGUGGAACGGUCUGGAAAGUCCGACGGUACAGGGUGAUAGUCCCGUACACCAAAAUGCACAGGCUGUGAACUCGAAGAGUAGGGCGGGACACGUGGUAUCCUGUCUGAAUAUGGGGGGACCAUCCUCCAAGGCUAAAUACUCCUGACUGACCGAUAGUGAACCAGUACCGUGAGGGAAAGGCGAAAAGAACCCCGGCGAGGGGAGUGAAAAAGAACCUGAAACCGUGUACGUACAAGCAGUGGGAGCACCUUCGGGUGUGACUGCGUACCUUUUGUAUAAUGGGUCAGCGACUUAUAUUCUGUAGCAAGGUUAACCGUAUAGGGGAGCCGCAGGGAAACCGAGUCUUAACUGGGCGUUAAGUUGCAGGGUAUAGACCCGAAACCCGGUGAUCUAGCCAUGGGCAGGUUGAAGGUUGGGUAACACUAACUGGAGGACCGAACCGACUAAUGUUGAAAAAUUAGCGGAUGACUUGUGGCUGGGGGUGAAAGGCCAAUCAAACCGGGAGAUAGCUGGUUCUCCCCGAAAGCUAUUUAGGUAGCGCCUCGUGAAUUCAUCUUCGGGGGUAGAGCACUGUUUCGGCUAGGGGGUCAUCCCGACUUACCAACCCGAUGCAAACUACGAAUACCGAAGAAUGUUAUCACGGGAGACACACGGCGGGUGCUAACGUCCGUCGUGAAGAGGGAAACAACCCAGACCGCCAGCUAAGGUCCCAAAGUCAUGGUUAAGUGGGAAACGAUGUGGGAAGGCACAGACAGCCAGGAUGUUGGCUUAGAAGCAGCCAUCAUUUAAAGAAAGCGUAAUAGCUCACUGGUCGAGUCGGCCUGCGCGGAAGAUGUAACGGGGCUAAACCAUGCACCGAAGCUGCGGCAGCGACACUAUGUGUUGUUGGGUAGGGGAGCGUUCUGUAAGCCUGCGAAGGUGACCUGUGAGGGUUNCCUUGGCGAUUGACGUUACCCGCAGAAGAAGCACCGGCUAACUCCGUGCCAGCAGCCGCGGUAAUACGGAGGGUGCAAGCGUUAAUCGGAAUUACUGGGCGUAAAGCGCACGCAGGCGGUCUGUCAAGUCGGAUGUGAAAUCCCCGGGCUUAACCUGGGAACUGCAUUCGAAACUGGCAGGCUAGAGUCUUGUAGAGGGGGGUAGAAUUCCAGGUGUAGCGGUGAAAUGCGUAGAGAUCUGGAGGAAUACCGGUGGCGAAGGCGGCCCCCUGGACAAAGACUGACGCUCAGGUGCGAAAGCGUGGGGAGCAAACAGGAUUAGAUACCCUGGUAGUCCACGCCGUAAACGAUGUCGAUUUGGAGGUUGUGCCCUUGAGGCGUGGCUUCCGGAGCUAACGCGUUAAAUCGACCGCCUGGGGAGUACGGCCGCAAGGUUAAAACUCAAAUGAAUUGACGGGGGCCCGCACAAGCGGUGGAGCAUGUGGUUUAAUUCGAUGCAACGCGAAGAACCUUACCUGGUCUUGACAUCCACAGAACUUUGCAGAGAUGGUUUGGUGCCUUCGGGAACUGUGAGACAGGUGCUGCAUGGCUGUCGUCAGCUCGUGUUGUGAAAUGUUGGGUUAAGUCCCGCAACGAGCGCAACCCUUAUCCUUUGUUGCCAGCGGUUCGGCCGGGAACUCAAAGGAGACUGCCAGUGAUAAACUGGAGGAAGGUGGGGAUGACGUCAAGUCAUCAUGGCCCUUACGACCAGGGCUACACACGUGCUACAAUGGCAUAUACAAAGAGAAGCGACCUCGCGAGAGCAAGCGGACCUCAUAAAGUAUGUCGUAGUCCGGAUUGGAGUCUGCAACUCGACUCCAUGAAGUCGGAAUCGCUAGUAAUCGUAGAUCAGAAUGCUACGGUGAAUACGUUCCCGGGCCUUGUACACACCGCCCGUCACACCAUGGGAGUGGGUUGCAAAAGAAGUAGGUAGCUUAACCUUCGGGAGGGCGCUUACCACUUUGUGAUUCAUGACUGGGGUGAAGUCGUAACAAGGUAACCGUAGGGGAACCUGCGGUUGGAUCACCUCCUUACCUUAAAGAACCUGCCUUUGUAGUGCUCACACAGAUUGUCUGAUAAAUAAUAAAUUUCAAAAUGUACUGCGAAGUGCAUUGUGAAAUUUUGCUCUUUAAAAAUCUGGAUCAAGCUG
rnacentral:rRNA from 1 species